rnacentral:ncRNA from 1 species
AUGACUCUCUAAAUUGCAAAAUUUACCUUUGGAGGGAAAAGUUAUCAGGCCUGCACCUGAUAGCUAGUCUUUAAACCAAUAGAUUGCAUCGGUUUAAUAGGCAAGACCGUCAAAUUGCGGGAAAAGGGUCAACAGCCGUUCAGUACCAAGUCUCAGGGGAAACUUUGAGAUGGCCUUGCAAAGGAUAUGGUAAUAAGCUGACGGACAGGGUCCUAACCACGCAGCCAAGUCCUAAGUCAACAUUUCGGUGUUGAUAUGGAUGCAGUUCACAGACUAAAUGUCGGUCGGGGAAGAAUAGGUAUUCUUCUCAUAAGAUAUAGUCGGACCUCUCCUUAAUGGGAGCU